GUCUUCUGAAUCGUCGUCUGCA
rnacentral:miRNA from 1 species